rnacentral:tRNA from 1 species
GGGUCUGUAGCUCAGUCGGUUAGAGCACCGUCUUGAUAAAGGCGGGGGUCGUUGGUUCGAAAUCCAAACCAGACCCACCA